GUGUUUGUCUACAUAAUGUGUGUAAAAUGCACGUGUGUCCUCAGAAUUCCAGAUGCUUCCUCCUUUUUUUCUGUGUUUACAGCCACACAGAAAUGCUUCCAGCAAGCAUAAUUCCUGAUGAACAAACACUGAGGUCUACUUUCGCUUUAAACUCAUCGGGGACUCUCCAUGGAACACUGAUGGCAUCCGCAUACCCACCUCCAGACUCUCGGGAAUACAACUCCCAUUUUGUUCUUCAGAUUCCUCGCUCUUUAUAGCUUGGGUCAGCUGCUUAAUGUCUGGGAGGAUAAAAAACUUAAAAGGCAUUUUUAGGGAACUAGUCCACAGGUUCCUUCCCAUUCAGGGAGUCUAGCUCUCAGCUUACGAUCCCCACAAAGCCACCACACAUCAGCUCUUCCAGUAAUAUGGCUAACAAACUAAUCAUUGAGGUAAGAGUCCUUGGCUUGUGUUAUGUCAUGGGUGACAUUGCACCAGCUUCAGUCACGCAGGUCCUGACCUUGCCCAUUCCUAUAAAAACAGAUAUAAUUUCCAUGGUAUGUUUUGGAGGGGUUAUGGUUUUACAGGUGGGUACAAACAAUGCAAACAAGUCUCACACAGGGGCACUGAAGUGCAAGCAAACAACCAGAGAAUACAUGCUAAACUAGCUGGAUGUCAGCUGAAAUGGUGAUGUGGCCAGGAUUGGCCUAGCAAGUGCACACGCCACAACUAGAAACAUUAGCUCGGUAGGCAGUCCAAAACACACAAUCUAACAUUACUUUUGUCAGUGUAACCUGUCUCUAUUUCUAAUACGUUUAUUAUGUUUAUGGUCUUUACUCCUGUGAGGUUUGUGGUAUGUGUUGCAGUGUAAACCGGUAUGUAGAUCCAGGAUCUGUGUCAGUGAUUAGUAUUUUAAACACUUCAAAUGGGUUGGUGCCUGACGCCCAAAUGCCUAAUGCAUCCAACCCUCUGUCCCCUAUUUCAGCAUUUUUCAAAGAUCUUAUGACCCUAUGUUCUUGGCCCACUUUCUUUACAAUGGUGAGGUGACUCUUUAUUUUGUGUUUUAGCAUGUAUCCCCAAUCAUGACCUCUAUUAGCUGCUACAAAACCCCAUGCAUUACAUUUGCCCGUUGUUUGACUUGUGCUGAUGUCUACAUAAUUUAGUUCUGUGUCCCCCUUUUCUCCCACACUGUUAUCAGACCUAAUGUUACAGUCAGUAGCAACACUAAGACCCUCAUUUCUUUAUCCAUGCUUAUUUCCUACCUAAUCAGGAUGAUCGCUGUGGAGAAUCUUUACUGAUGUUGAGUUGUUUGCCCUCUAUUGGAUUAGCUAUGCUAGACUUUUGUUUCUGUAAUUUCAUCACAUUUUUUAUUUCACAAUUUUUAUAUAUUAUAAGCACAAAAGAGCACCUUUACUCUCACUUCCCCCCAUCUAGUCUUGCUUCCCACCUCAUUUGGUGGUCAUCAUUCCUCCUGCCCUUUUUCCUUUCAGUACAGUCCCGUGUCCAGUGUCGGCCCCUGCCACAGUUGUAGCAGUUUCUACCUCUAACCUUGCUUUGUCUUGGCCUUCCCCUGCUUCUUCCUCUCCUCUGAUUUCCCUGUUUAACAUCCAAAAAUGGAAUGGGAGAGAUGAAUCUGUUGGCUUGGCAAAGGGUUUUGUAUUGUUACAUAGCGUGUACUGAGAGGUGGUGGCUGUGUCCACUGCGGGCAGCUUACUGAUAGUAGUAGAGAUUUUUGUGGUAGAAAUAGAUGCAAUGGGGCAGUUGGUGAUUGUCCUCCGCUACAGCACGGGGAAGGAUGAGGCCUUGGGCCUACAGGGGGCUUGUGUAAUCAUCCUCUUGCUUCCCAAUGGCUUGGGUGACUGGAGGAUACAGUGUGGGUUGAGAUUUUUGCGUGGGCUCUGGUAGGGUCGUAUCUCCUCCAGCCUCAGAUUGUUUUUUGCCCUCAAUUUUAGUUUGCUUAAGUUUUCAGCUUCUUCUAACCACGCAAUCAUGUGUGCAUGUCCAAUUUUCUCUAAUUUGCUCUUACUUUUGCUGCUUUAUAUUUCCCACUAACUGUUUACAUUUUUCAGCAUCUAGCUUCCUCUCAAAUCCGAAUUCCUUUUUGCCGUUAGGGAAAAAGCACAACUGCUCUCGGGUCUCUAUGACACAUUAAUUCUGUGUCAUCCGGCGUGGAGUACAUCCAGUUCCGGUUUACUACAAUUACUGCAAUUAUUGCAAUUACAACACAUCAGUUUCCCCCUCCUUUUUUUGCCUGUCCUGUCCGGCAGUGUAGCUAUCAGAAUUGUUGUUUGAAGGCCAAAAAAUGCCCAACAAAUAUGAUGGUGAUAUUAUAUUAGUCAAAUUGUGUGUAUGAGCAUACUUGUGUUCAUAAGGUUUAAGUUUCUAAUAGUGUGUGUAGGGAACUACAGCCCUGCCCCCAGGACACGAAGUAGGCAUGGAGGAGAACUGGGCUGCAGACAUCCAGAGGCCCCCCCAGAGCACGAGAGCCCCAGGAGGACCACCGCUUAUCCUGUUUUAUUUUAUUGUUUCUUUUACCUUAGCUCAGUAUAUCUUUACUUUAUCUAUAGAUAAAGUUUGCACCACCAGGAUUCACAGGACAGCCACAGUGGAGACACUGACACUCGAUUUCCAACCUUCUCUAGCUUUUAUUAGAAUAUUCUUAUUAUACUAUUUUAAUGUGUACAACUCAGCGAUCCUGGAUCGCCAUUUAUUUAAAUGGUCCCUGACCAUAAUGCCUAGGGUCCAGGUGUUUUGUUUUUUUAAAAUGAGAAUCGCUUUACUUAUUUUGAUAAAUAGACUUCAGUGAACAGGAUUUACAAAGGGGUUAUAUAUAAAAUAAAGAAAUUGCUUGUUUUGCAAGUAGCUUAAUGACUGGAUUAUUUUAUCUACAUAAUAAGCAAUCCAGUCCUUUCUACUUAAAAUAUCUUUAAAGAACUAGUGCUAUCGUUAAUUUCUCCUUCCCUCUUGGGCAGGUCCCUCUUAAAAAAACAUUUUCAAUGUCAAUUGGCUGAAAUUACUAAUGCUGUUGCUCUUGUGAUAAACUACUCCACAUAUGACCCAAGGGAGUACAGCUUCCAUAAUAAUGACUUUAAUUAGUUUAGUCACAGAUUUAACAAGCUGGUGACUCACACUGGAGGAAAUCCCAGCACUGGAAAGUCACCAACCUGCCCUGAUAAGACACAGAUGUUCUGCACUACUGGGUUUAUCAUGACUUCUGAAUCUUUUCAUCCUCUGGUUCUACUUGUUUUAACAAAAGGUGGAUAUGACACAUUCAUUUAGCUCACAGCACACUCAUCCUGUACGAAUUCAGCUCUGUACAUCUGUAUUCUCAUUAUGACACCACCACACACUACAAAUACCAUAACAAGGCUGCAGCCACGGAUGGUUUUAUUGUUUUCUUCAGCUUCUUUAUGUUUUCAUAGCAGAAAAUUGUUUGAAAUCUGCUCAUAAUUUUCAUACCCCAAGAUGCUGUAUUUUUUUUUACUAAACCAGCAGUACAAAGUCGAAAGAUUUUAUUAUAAAUAUAACAGUAUAGAAUAAGAAUAUUCAAGAAAAUUAUUAUGAAUGUUUCCAUGACGUAAUUAAUUUGUUUUCAUUGAGUUUUCACAGACUAUUCUGGUUGCAAAACAGUCUGUUUAUAUAUUUUUAUUGUCAUGAACUGUGUGUGGAGCAGGCAGAAUUGGACCCAAAUGCAGACUCGCAGACAGGACUUGAACUCAAGACACAGCUUUUAUUGCUGGGAUGUCAUAGAAAUACAAAACUAACCUAAACUGGCAAUACCGAAAUCUAAACUAACACACAGAAACACACAGCCAUGAAUGAGGGCGAUCACAAUGCAGGACAGAGGGAGAUGGAGAGAUAAAUACACACGAGGCAAACGAGGGGACAAACCACUGGAGGGAACACAGCUGAACAUGAUCUAGCUAACGAGACAGGGGGAAAUAACACUGAAAUACACUGGACAUGGAACACAAGACUGUCAAAAUUAAACAAGAAACACCGAGGCGCAGACCUAAGACUCACGGGCAAGACACCACACCAGGGAUAAACAGGGAGGCAAACAGGGGUACGAGAGAAAGGGACCGAGAGGGGACACCAGAGAGAGGGAGAGAGACAUGACAGGCUGGGGAGACAUGAAAUGAACACAAGUAGGGGGAACAUGGGGACAGAACAGAGAAACAAGACACAAGCCCACACACACGCACAUAAACACAAACACACACAGAGGGACACAGAGGACGGUGGAGAACCUAAAUGGACAAGGAACCAAACAGGGAACUUAAGAACCUCCAAACAGAACAAACUAAAGACUACUAAUACGCCUAAGACACCAAAACACACAAAACUCAAAACACUGGUUCAAAUGACACAGAACCAUAUAACUUUUAUUUUAUUUGGUAAAUCCAACUGAGAUUUUAGAUUUCAUAAUUAAGGGUCACCUAGCCAGAAUGGUGGUAUUAAAAAAUUAAUUAAACAAACCAAGAAAAUACAUCAGUACGCGCCUUAAGUACGUUAAGUAUUAAAUUUGGCCUGAACACUUUUAGUCCAAACAUGGACCCAAGUCAAACAGCAAAGUAGCACGUUUGGAGACACUUUAAGCUGGCUCCAACAGGAAACAUGUUUUCAGCCAGCCAGGUACUCUUUCACAGCAUUUGUACUGUUUGUUUCCUUUGGAGCAUUUAUAAUUAAAUUAUCGGACUCACUAAAAAUAUUUCUGUUUUUAGUCUGUGAACUGUGAGUCAGUUCUAGUAUUUUAUUAGUGAAUUACUCUGCAAUAUUAUGUUUGACUCUGCAUUUUGGCUCUUUUGGCUCCAAAACCCCGACAUAAUAUUUUCAAUUUUUACAAUAUUGAAAAGUUACUGCCCCAAGUGCAGGAGUUUAACUAUCUUGGGGUCUUGUUCAAGACUGAGGGGAGAGAGGAGCGAGGGAUCGACAGACGGAUUGGUGCUGUGGCUGCAUGUUGAUGCAGACGCUGUACCGGUCCAUCAUGGUGAAGAGAGAGCUGAGUGUAAAAGUUAAGCUCUUGAUUUACAAGCUGAUCUACGUCCCUAUCCUCAACUAUGGUCACGAGCUGUGGGUAGUGACCAAAAGAAGGAGAUUGUAGAAACAAGUGGCAGAAAUGAGCUUUUUUUUUCCAAAGGGUGGCUGGCUUUUCCCUCAGAUAUAGGGUGAUGAGUUUGGCCAUCCGGGAGGGGCUCAGAGUAGAGCCGCUGCUCUUCCACAUCAAAAGGAGUCAGUUGAGGUAGUUCAGGCAUCUGACCAGGAUGCCUCCUGGGUGAGGUGUUCCGGGCAUGUCCCACUGGGAGGAGGCCCCAAGGCAGACCCAGGACACGCUGGAGAGAUUCUAUCUCACAGCUGGCCUGGCAGGCAGGUGGCUGGGACAGGGAGGUCUGGGCUUCUCUGCUUAGGCUGCUGCCUCAUGACAUGUUCCUUCAUGUCAGGGACAGGGACAAAUAUUGUUGGAGUGGCAAGAUAAUGGGGCGUGGGAAAAAUACUGCAUAGUCACAAUAUUUCCAGUGGGAAUUAUGUAUUAAUAGAUGGACACCAAAUAUUCUUCUUCUCUUGGCUCUUGACGGAGGCGGUUGCACUUUCUCCUUCUCCCUCUUCCUCUCCCUUAUCUUUCCUGCUUGGCUUCUCAUGUCUUUUGUAUAGUCUUGCUUAUUCUCUAACCCUAAGAGAGUCUCCCAGACUUGUUCUCUAAAAACCUAAAGAAGAAUUAUGGAUUUGAUCAACUGGUCCCUUAACGGAACUGACACCCUGCGGAGGUGUUUGCUGCCUGAUACUAGAUGGUUGGUUGCAUCGUGUGUCUGGCGACACUCUCGAUGGAGGACAUUGAAUGACAUCUACCAAUUCGGAACCACGAUAACAGAGUUCUGGCUGAUGGGAGCUGGCUCAGACCUGGCUUAUCGAAGAGCAAGAAGCGGCUACAGCUGUUCAAAAUCCCACAAGGCUGGCCGACAUGAUAGACGAUGGGCAGGGCUGUGAGUACUCAGACUGUGUUUUAUGUGAACGCGAUAUGGAUACGAUCUUGGAGAAGCUCAUGGCUCUGCAAUAUGGAUAAGAUCUUGAAGAAGAACAACGGGAAUUGAGAGACCUGGUGACCAGUAACGGACAUUAGACCUACUGUAAAAUUGGAAGCAGUUUGUUCGCACUAACCAAAACAACUACCAUUUUCAUCUCACGCAGCCCCCCUGGUGCCAGCUGGAUGCUCAAGGCAAAAGCUGGCGGGAAUAAGAAAUUCUCCCUUAGAUAAUAAGACUGUUGUGACUUUCUUCUCCCUCAUUCAACGCCACCCGCGUUGAUCGAAGAUUGUUGACUUUUGCUUAACCAGGUGAAGGGACACUUUCUCUUGGUUGAGCACAGAACUCACACGCACACAUACGCAUGUACACUGACACAUACCUACCCCCCACCCCCUUCACACAAGGAAAAAUUAGGACAGCAACAUCCUGCUGGUUUUUUUUCACAUUUUGUGGCCUAUUGCAACAUGACUAAAUGGUUGCCCAGAGAUUUUUGACAAUAUAUUACAAUAAUAUUGUAUCAUAAGUGAAGUAUUGUGAUAACGUUGUGUUGUGGGUUGUCUGGUGAUUUCCACCUCUAGAGUGUGAGGCCUCAACUUUAUGUUUAAAAAAUUAAGUCAGUUGUCAGUAUUAAUCUCUUCUUUUGACCCUUCCACAAUCAAAUGUGUAGGAGGAAGCCACAGCAAAAGGAGGUCACGGUGGAUGGAUGGGUCUCUCUUUUUUUCUGUCCUGAGUGAGACUCAGCUUAGUUCGUUGAGCAUUUACAAACUUUAAGAAAUUUUUACUCUUUUAACAAUGAAAACAAAGAAGCUUUGAACAAUUGUAAUACUCAUUUUAUGCAAAAAGUGUUAUUUGCACAGUUUUUCCAUUUUCUGCUAACAGUCUGUUCUUUUAACCACAAAUACACAGAACAUUUUGUACAUUUAAAAAAUUUCCCUUACUCUACCAUCUCUUAUAACUUACUUUUUAUUUUUAUAUUCUUUAUUUUUGUGUAAAAUUGCAUGCUCUAUCUGCCUGUUAAUUUGCUGCUGGAACACCUUAAUUUCUCCAAUGAGGGAUAAUAAAGGACUUUUCUGUUCUAUUUGAUUCUAUUCUUCCCUAUGUGGACCGUGAAUCUUAUGGAAGUGGCUUCAGAUGUUUCUGUGAGCUGUGCCCCUUCAGCUGUAUCUGCCAAGAUUUGUUUUGAUUUCCGGAGCCUUUAUCUAUCUCAUCAGGUCAUUUCCUAUGUGUAACAGCACCAUUUCCUGUCUCUGUGGAGCACCAUGAGCGAUUACAGAAAAAACAAACCAUUUCUCCCAUUUUCAUCUUUGUUUCUCUUUCUAUUCAUUCUCUUUUCUCCUACUUCUGUGUCUCUCUGCAUCUUGUCCUCAGGUUUUCAUUCAUAUCUAAUCUUGAAAGAUUAAACAUUGGUGUGACAAAUUAAAAA